CGCCUGUUUAUCAAAAACAUGUCUUUUUGUUAAUUAUUUAAGGUUUGGCCUGCUCCAUGACUUGGUUUUAUAGCCGCAGUAUUUUGACUGUGCAAAGGUAGCAUAAUCAUUAGUUUUUUAAUUGAAAGCUGGAAUGAAUGGUCGGAUGAGAAAGCUUCUGUCUCACUUUGGUUUUGUUUGAAUUUUAUUUUUAAGUAAAAAGGCUUAGAUAUAAUAGAAAGACGAGAAGACCCUAUAGAGUUUAAUAGGUGAAUAUUUUGAUUGUCAUAGAAUUUUAUUGUAAUUGUCUUAUUGCUUAUUUUGUUGGGGUGACACUAGAAUUGAAUAAACUUCUGUCUUUAUUAACAUUGAUUAAUGAGAAAAUGAUCCUGAGUUUUGGAUUAAUAGAAUAAAUUACCUUAGGGAUAACAGCGUAAUUCUUUUGGAGAGUUCUGAUCGAUAAAAGGGAUUGCGACCUCGAUGUUGGAUUAAAGAUAAAUUUUGGUGUAGAAGCUAAGAUUUUG
rnacentral:rRNA from 1 species